GGAGGAGCUGAGAGAAAGUAAAGUACUUAUUUCAGUCCACUUCUGACAGACCUUGUCACUGUGCCUGCAACCUGGUCAGAGAGGAAGUAAGGACUGGUGUCAGGAGGGAGCUGCUAGGUGACAAAGGGAAGAGCCCUCAGGAUAGGGCUGGGGUUGGGAGUGUGGGAUUAGGAGGAAAAUGCUGGGUGGGUGGUGGAUGAGAGAAGUAGGCAGACAUGAAUUCUUCAGGGAAAGCUGUGUAGAGGGUUGGAGGGAGGGAAGAUUGGAUGAUUGAGCUGAGUGAGAGCCCAGGGAUGUGAUCAGGGGUCUAUUAACUGGCUUCCAACUUCCAAGGUUUUAUCUGUGCAGCUCUUCUCCCAGGAUGGACAAUUCUCAUGCUACAAAGUCCUGUGUGCUCAUCCUUCUUGUGGUCCUACUGUGUGCAGAAAGAGACUCUCAGAGAAAAAAAGCAAAGAACAGUUAUUGCUUUUCCAUCUGCCCUACUAAUAAAUAUUUCACGAUCCUGGAUGCUACUGUCAGCGUGAAGAGUUUCUGUUGCGAGGAAGACCUCUGCAAUGCAGAGAUUGCCACAGGAAGCAGCUCCUAGACCACGGCAGGGGUGCUUCUGUUCAGCCUGGGCUCAGUCCUCCUGCAGACCCUGCUGUGAUGGUCCUUCCAACAACCCUCACCCUUGUCCUUUUAUCCUCAUGUGUAAGCACUUUUUCCUGGAGCCCUCUAGUGAUGAAUUGUGAGUUGUAGAAGCUCCAAGGUGGGGGACUUUAUAACCUCAGCUGGGUAGUUCCCCACUCCUCUCUAGGGCUUUCGAAUCUGUACUUCCUGGAAUGUUAUUUUGUUUUGACUUGCUACUUUUGGCCCUGGAGGCAAGGGGCCAGCACAGGGAAUAGGCAAAUUUCCAAGGUAUUAUGCCAUCCCCAUCCACAUGUAAGUAUCUGGGGUCCUCCAGGGUUCCCACAUGUGCUGUUCAAUGUCUCUCUGUUGAGUUCAAUAAAGACUUUGUUCUCCCAGCUAA
rnacentral:lncRNA from 1 species